CUUAGGGGCUGUGUGUUUUACAUGCCGCACCUGUAAGUAGCCUUCUGGCUUCUUGGACUGCAGGAAGUUGGAUGAAGCAAUCCACAUAAAGGUUUAGAAGGGAGGUGGGAGGAGUGAACCCCUCAGGAGUUCUUUUGGGGGUCCUAUGUGCCUUUUCAUCAAAGAACAGGGUGGUGGUGCUGCAGCCUCUGUGAUCUGUACGCUCUCCCCGUGCCAGGAAGGGCUGGAGUUGAGAGGGUGGCAGGAGUGUCAUAGCACUUGUUUCAGGUAAAGCUUCCUGGUGGGUCUGAGUAGUGAGGACGUGCGUAGGUAUGUCCUGGCGCUUGACGUGAUGUUUUCUUUCUUCUCUGCUUUUUAGUUCCUGAAGCACUGUGGAUGAGACACCAUUGUGGACCCUGGAAAGAAGCACCUCGCUUGUGCCACAAUACCUUCAUUAAUCGGAAACUGGGCAUUGUUUGAGGAAGACCUGCUACUGUCCCUGAGAAGAAGGCUGAGGAUCCAGCCACACCAAGCAGUCUAGGGCAGAUUGAUGCUGGAAAUUUCCCCUGCGGAGAGGAUCAGCAGCUGACCACUUUGCCAGUAGCUGAGGCCUGAGCUUCCAGAGCCUGGAUGCCCAGGGGAAGCUGAGGAAGAGGUUGCUGCAGGUAGAGGGUAGAGCCAAGGAGGACUGGGCUUGAGCCCAGGAGCAGCAGAGACAAGAAGGGAGAACCUGAGGCACGGAGGGGAAACUCACAGCGGGAACGAGAGGCAGCAGUCCGGCCACCCUUCCCAUGGCCUCUAAGCAGGCUGCCGUGAAGGGCAGGGUCGGGAAGCGGAAGCGGGUGGUGCUGACGCUGAAGGAGAAGAUUGACAUCUGCACACGCCUGGAGCGGGGCGAGAGCAGAAAGGCGCUGAUGCAGGAGUACAACGUGGGCAUGUCCACCCUGUAUGACAUCAAGGCCCACAAGGCCCAGCUGCUCCGGUUCUUCGCCAAUUCUGACUCCAACCAGGCGCUGGAGCAGCGGCGCACGCUGCACACACCCAAGCUGGAGCACCUGGAUCGGGUGUUGUAUGAGUGGUUCCUGGUGAAGCGUGCCGAGGGCGUCCCCGUGUCAGGCCCCAUGCUCAUCGAGAAGGCCAAGGACUUCUACGAGCAGAUGCGGCUGACCGAGCCCUGUGUGUUCUCUGGAGGGUGGCUUUGGCGUUUUAAGGCCAGGCAUGGCAUUAAAAAGCUAGAUGCAUCCAGUGAGAAGCAGGUAGCUGACCACCAGGCAGCGGAGCAGUUCUGCGGCUUCUUUAGGAGCUUGACCACUGAGCACGGGCUCUCUCCUGAGCAGGUGUACAGUGCCGAUGAGACCGGUCUUUUCUGGAGGUGCUUGCCAAGUCCCAGCCCAGAUGGUGGGACUAUGCCCAGCCUCAAGCAGGGCAAGGACAGACUGACUGUCCUGAUGUGUGCCAAUGCCACAGGUUCCCAUAGAAUCAAGCCCUUGGCCAUCGGGAAAUGCCGUGGCCCCAGGGCUUUCACAGGCAUCCAGCACCUGCCCGUCGCCUACAAGGCCCAGGGUAAUGCCUGGGUGGACAAGGAGAUCUUCUCAGAUUGGUUCCACCGCAUCUUUGUCCCCUCGGUCAGAGAACACUUUAGAACCAUAGGUCUGCCGGCAGACAGCAAGGCCAUCCUGUUGCUGGACGACUCCAGGGCCCACCCACAGGAGGCUGCGUUGGCAUCUGAUAACAUCUUCACCAUCUUCUUGCCUGCCAGUGUGACAUCGUUGAUCCAGCCCAUGGAGCAGGGCAUCCGAAGAGACUUCAUGAGGCACUUCAUCAACCCCCCUGGGAGCCUGCAGGGCUUCCACCCGCGGUACAGCAUGAACGAUGCCAUACUCAGCGUGGCCUGUGCUUGGAACGCUGUGCCCAGCCAUGUCUUCAGGAGGGCCUGGAGGAAGCUGUGGCCUGCUGUCAUGUUUGCAGAAGGCUCUUCCGAGGGCGAGGAGGACGAAGAGGCCGAGCCUUGCAGUACCAAGCCUCAUAACAAGACUUUGGCCCACAUCCUCGAGCUCGUGAGGGAGGGCCCCUUCUGCCCAGGCCACAGGCUUCCGCCCAGUGCAGGGAGGGAGGUGGAGGAGGCACCCACUGCUAUGCUGCCGGCUGAGGCUGACCGGAAUGCAGACCGGGUGGAGAGAGACGCUGGGGAGGACUCUGCGGCCGAGGUGGCCUGGGAGCAGGCGGCCGCAGCCUUUGAGGCACUUGUGCACUUCGCGGAGCAGCAGCCCUGCUUCAGCACACAGGAGGUGGGGCAGCUGCAUGCACUGCACUCUGCCUUCAGGAGGCGGCUGCAGCUGAGGCAGCAGCCCGUCGCCCUGAGGGCCAUGGUGAAGCUUGAGGCCCGCCAGGAUCACCCGGGUAGGUGCAGGGCCACAGCCCACUCCCCCCUGCCCUGCUCAUCCACAGCCAGUGAUAACUGAUGGCUGUCAUCACACCCAUUUGACCCCUAGGACAUGGGGUCAGUCCUGGGACACAGACUGCCCGCUGGGCGGGAGAGCACGCUCAGAGAGAGCUUAAGCGCUCCCCCAGGGGGUGGUGCCCCCAGCACAUUGUCUCCAUUACUCAGAAGGACCCAGGCCUGUGUGUUUUGGCUGAUUGCAGUUUACCUGUGUCGUUUGCUACGUCCUGUGAAUGGGAGGAGACCCUCUGGAGAGUCCAUGCUACCUUAAGCACACCCAAGCCUCCUCUAUUGAAACUGGGGGCCAGGCUGGGUGAAUCCCGAAUCUUCUGUGGCCUGGCAAACCUUGCUGUGUUGGAUAGAGGUGUGUCUGUCCUGGCAGAGAAGAGCACUGUGCUAGCCCACAGGGGCAGCGCCUCCUGCCCCAGGGAGGCUGGGUAGGCUGAGCUGGCAGUAGUUCAUGUGCUGGGUGGACCCCAAGUCGAGUGUGAGGGCAGGGACUCAGUUCAUGACCUCAAGUGCCCUCAGGCCACACAUCUCCCCAUUGGCACAUGCCUGCUUCAGCCACAGUCAUGCUCAGCAGAAGAGCUCUGUAGUGUCCCCUGUGGCCUGCAGACCCUGCCCUUCAGGCCCAGGCAGGCCCUCUGGUCACCCUCAGGGACCCUGGACUGUUGUUUUUAGCAUUUGGCUCAGAGACCACUACAAAGUCUGUAUUCCAUGCUCCCAGACUUUCAGUUAGAGCCCCUAACUGAAGAAGUCGCCAUCAGGAGUUCAGAGUCUAGUCUUAGGUCUGCACACGGCCACUGAGGACAGUGACACAGGCCCCAGCAGCGUGGAAGCUUUCGUCCUUGCUGUUUCCAGGGCAGCGAUGCUCUGGGGGAAGGCCUGUCUGUACCAGUGGGUGUUGGGAGGCCGACCCUAGGACGUGGUCAUUUCCUCGGCCUUAGUAGCCCUCUGUGGCUUUACCUCUAGCAGCACCAUGCUUCCUGGCUGUGACUCCAGAGGCCCUGUCCACCGCGUUAGCUGCGUUGUGGCCGUGAAAUGGGUGUUUUUCCGAGCUCACUCCUUUGCCCUUGAGCUCCAUUCCUUCUUGGAUUCGCAUCCUGGCAGCUGAAUUGGCACGAGGUUUCAUUCCCCUGCUCGUCAGGUACUCCAUCAAGAGACGCGCUGCUGGGAUCCUGAGAGCCAAGGGACUUACAGGGAGGUUUGUGGUUCUAGUCUGUCCAGACGCUGAGGCCGUAGUGAUGUUGAUAUAGCGCUGUGUUGUAGAAUGUGUGUUUCUUUGAAGCAUGUGGGAAGAUCAUAAAAACCAGAUAGUUUUUGAAGUUUUGUUGCGGAUUCUUGGGGCUCUGUGGCCUUGUGUUGUGUUGCCGUCGUGCUCUGCUUCGUGCCUGUGCGUCUG
rnacentral:lncRNA from 1 species